GGAUGUGAGGGCAAUCUCUCUGUGACAUGUCACCCCACUGACCACCAGGGUUGAUUCGGCUGAUCUGGCUGGCUAGGCGGGUGUCCCCUUCCAACCUCACUGCUCCAUAUGCGUCCCUCCCAAAGCUGUACACUCUGUCGAAGAUGUUAGAUUUCCCCAGAGUUCGAGUUCGACUGGGUAUAUAC
rnacentral:snRNA from 1 species